rnacentral:rRNA from 1 species
AGCUUCCAAGAAAAGCCCUAUACCCGUUAAGGCAUGAUGGCCUGUACCCGAAACCGACACAGGUGGGGUGGUAGAGAAUACCGAGGGGCGCGAGAUAACUCUCUCUAAGGAACUCGGCAAAAUGGCCCCGUAACUUCGGGAGAAGGGGUGCCACCGCAAGGUGGUCGCAGUGAAGAGGCCCAGGCGACUGUUUACCAAAAACACAGGUCUCCGCUAAGUCGCAAGACGAUGUAUGGGGGCUGACGCCUGCCCAGUGCCGGAAGGUUAAGGAAGCUGGUCAGCGUAAGCGAAGCUAGCGACUGAAGCCCCGGUGAACGGCGGCCGUAGCAAUAACGGUCCUAAGGUAGCGAAAUUCCUUGUCGGGUAAGUUCCGACCCGCACGAAAGGCGUAACGAUCUGGGCGCUGUCUCGGAGAGAGGCUCGGCGAAAUAGAAUUGUCUGUGAAGAUGCGGACUACGUGCACCCGGACAGAAAGACCCUAUGAAGCUUUACUGUAGCUUGGUAUUGUGCUCGGGCUCGGAAUGCGCAGGAUAGGUGGGAGGCUAUGAACCAUUGCUUGUGGGUGAUGGUGAGCCACUGGUGAGAUACCACUCUUUCCGAGCUAGAGUUCUAACAGCCACCCGUUAUCCGGGGGCUGGACAGUAUCAGGUGGGCAGUUUGACUGGGGCGGUCGCCUCCUAAAAGGUAACGGAGGCGCGCAAAGGUUUGCUCAGGCUGGUUGGAAAUCAGCCGACGAGUGUAAAAGCAGAAGCAAGCUUGACUGUGAGACCUACAAGUCGAACAGGGAGGAAACUCGGCUUUAGUGAUCCGACGGUUCUGCGUGGAAGGGCCGUCGCUCAACGGAUAAAAGUUACUCUAAGGAUAACAGGCUGAUCUCCCCCAAGAGUUCACAUCGACGGGGAGGUUUGGCACCUCGAUGUCGGCUCAUCGCAACCUGGGGCUGAAGUCGGUCCCAAGGGUUGGGCUGUUCGCCCAUUAAAGCGGUACGCGAGCUGGGUUCAGAACGUCGUGAGACAGUUCGGUCCAUAUCCGGUGCAUGCGCAGGAAUAUUGAGAGGAUUUCUCCCUAGUACGAGAGGACCGGGAGGAACGCACCUCUGGUGUACCAGUUAUCGUGCCAACGGUAAACGCUGGGUAGCCAUGUGCGGAGAGGAUAACCGCUGAAAGCAUCUAAGUGGGAAGCCCACCUCAAGAUGAGUAUUCCCAUGGGGUAACCCAGUAAGGUCACGGGAAGAACACCCGUUGAUAGGCUCUACGUGGAAGCGCAGUAAUGUGUGAAGCGGAGGAGUACUAAUAGACCGAGGGC